CAGAGCGAGUUGCCGUCUGGGAUGCGGUGGCCGCCUACGUACAGGAGCACCUCCUGGUGCAGAAGGUGUGUUGGCUGUCGUCUUCCUCCUCUCCCUGUCCAGCUCAGCCUGCAGUUCCUCUGACUCUUCCCCUCCACACAAAGCAGGAAGCUCAGCCCAGAUUGCUCUGCUGUGCAUAGCGUGGGCUUCCUGCAAAGGCAGCAUCGCUUGUGCUAGGCGGGCUCCGAGCUCAGGGCCGAGCCCAGCCUCGGGAAGCCUCUGGAUUCCACCAGGCUGCUUCCGCCCUGACUGCUGUGCUGCAUUUGGGAGGGCAAGGGGAGGGAGAGGACUGCGCAGCUCCUUCCCAAAGCCUCUCCCGGCUGCCCUGCCCGCUGGUGCCUCUGAGCAGCGGGAGAGGGCUUCUGAGCUCUGUCCCUACGUGGGACCCCCUCCAGCUCUUCCUCCAGCCGGCCCAUAACCCUGCAGCCCGUGCUUUCUCUUCCACUCGCAGGGGGUCUGGAUUCCCACCUUCGGCUCAUUCGACACCAUCUCUAAAGACAUCAGGACUGCGGACGGGACCGUGACUCUGCGGUGGCCCGUGUUUCAGCUGGCCAGGAACCUCAGAGCCAUGCACCACCUCGGGUCCGACAAGGACUCCCUGCCAGGUAGGAGCGGGAUUGAACCCUUGCAGGCUUCACGACGGGGCAAAGAAGGCCACCGCCUCCCUUCUCAGAAGGAGACCUCCCUCCCCCUCCGAGGUGGGGGCCGUGCUGGCUGAUGGCCGCAAGAAGCACUUGUAGGGAAGCAAGCAAGCGCCUGUGGAAAAGCGACUGCAGGAUCAACUCUGUCCCUCGCAUUUUUCAGCCCAUAGGGAGGUGGAGACCCUGAAAUACAGCGAGGUGGCUGCCGCUGCCUCUGUGACCUGGCAGAGAGGGAAGACCUGCAUCCAAAGCACCGUGUCCCUCCUCUCCAACUGCCUCAAGAAUGGGGAGAACGUUGCCUUUGUCCUGAAAGACAUAGGAGUGCUCCUCUUUGAAGGCAUGAGCUUUGGAAUUAAAUACUAUUACGACUUCCUUGAGAAGCUCUCCGGGAAGGAGAAAUUCAGAAAAGUUGUUUUCAAGGUGAGCUGGAGGUUUCUCCAUGGCCCGGGCAGUCCCGU
rnacentral:lncRNA from 7 species